AUAGUGCUGGUCCCAAUACCGCCUCCUCGUUACUGACCUCCACCUGGUCUUCAAGCUGUUGACCACAAUUCUUUGAAUGCAACCAUCCAACCAACGCCUUCUCCCUAGGAGGUUCAUCAGUCAAAUCCACAUCUCUCCAAUUUAGAGACAAGGUAUCACGCAGGGAAAGAGCAGUCAUCUCUGAUUCAGCUGUAAAUAUGGAAGGGAUCUGACCUGUCUCCCCAUAACCAAGCUCUGGGAAGGACAGUUUAACACAAUGCGGAAGACUAGCUUGUUCUUAAAGCAGUGACAAGUAAAUGGUGACAUCGCCAAAUUAUAUCAAUAGGGUCUGGAUCUUCACCACAGAUAGAAAUGCAAAUUUCCUGAUGUCAUCUGGAUGGCCAUGGAGGGAAGAAAGUGAGGAAUGGAAUCAAAGAGAAUAUAUUAUUGGUGACAGCAGCUAUACUAAGUGAGAGAUGCAAGCAUGAACUGAAGAUCUUGUUAAUGAGAGCAUGGGAGGGAAAGCAGACCACCGUACAAGCUAAACCAGAGGCUGGGGGAAGGGGGUGGGAGUAGAGAAAGACACUUGCUGAGAAAAACAAAAUAGACCUCAUCUGGUGAUAUUUCUGAUUCUGCAACCCUGGCCUUCUCAGCAAACAGAACUCACUUCAGCUGAUAUGGCCAAAAGCCCUCUAAUCUUCCUCUUCCUAUUGGUAUGCUUCUCCUCAAGAGCACAGGUGUUUUCCUGAACUCUCAUGUUCUCAAUAGUGAUGCUAAAAAUAUUCAAGGGAAUGCCGUUUUGUAAUGAAUUAGUUAUGACUUACACAAUUAUUCUUUCAUUUUCUAGUUUGCUGUUAUUCUAUCUUCUAGUAUUUUAAGUACAAAAUGUUUUCUUUAUUCAAAAAAUAAGUUUCCAAGCAAAAUAAUAUCCUUCCCAGAAUAUUUCUUCCCUAGGGAUUUCAAAAUUAGCAUGUUUUAUUGUAACUUACAUUGAAGCCAAGACAGCUUUUGAAUUAACUGAAGCCUUUGCCAAAUAAUAUAUUCAUCCUUUUGCCAAGUCUAGUUCAGGCUUGUAACAAAACAGCAACAGAAGAGAUCCUGUGUUACACGCAUCCCUACCGCUGUUAUGUAAGACAUGUAAACAAGUGUGUGUCCUCAUCUUGGCCUGUAACUUCAUUUCACUGCUUCUUUAGUUAAUUUUUAUUACAUUACUAUUACAAUCCUUAUUUCUGUCUUUCCCUAAAGGCUCAAAAACCACGCUGAAAAAUUUUAUCACAGUACCAUUGUUCUUAAGUUAUGUACUUCUGGAAAUGUUUGGUACUGCUUUUGUGUAGUUAUUAUCUUUGUAAAAUUUCCAGACCCUUGGUUUAUACUUUUAUGUAAUAUGUAAGCAUCAUUCCACUUUCUACUAAUCAUUCUUUAUGUUUAACUACUAUUGGCAUUCUUUCAUAUAUGAUUAAGGUGAUAUUCUCUGAUCAAUACAGUUUCUAGGUGUAAGUUUUACACAUACUGUCUUAUUAGCAUCUCUCUGCAGAGGGCUUGCCUUUAUAUUCUCUGCUCUGUCACAUUUAGAACUCCUUCAAAAUAUUCUGAAAUCAUAAAAUCCCUAACCAAGAUCAUCGAAAUUAGCUGCAUAAAAAUUAUCAUCUAGAGUGAGAUGGAAAAACUGGGAUGUAUACUGCCUUUUUCUGUUAGAGAAAUAUUACUUAAACUGUUGGUUUAUCUGCUUUCAAGUAGAAAUAAAAAAUAGUAUUUGAAAUUACCAAGUGUGUUACAAAGCAUGAGGACUCAAAUCUUUUAGAAUCAGGCCUGCAGAUAAUGUCCAGAUGUGGGUAAUUUCAAAAAUGCAAAUGGGGGUUCUAGUAGAUGCAUCCAUAAUACCUUAGAAAAGCUUUACCUAGAAAUUAAACAUGAGGAACUUGCUUUAGCACUGCUUAAGCUUCAACACUCAGUCUUCAUGGUGUGUUGAAAUAAGCUGUGCCCUGUAUUGUGGGGAGAAAGACACCAACAUUUUAAUGAAUGGCUUUUAUGAAUGCAUGCAAUGUGUCUCUCCUACUCAUAUUACCAUGUUAUCUGAACUAUCUCCCCAGACUCAUGUAUGUGUUGAUGUUUAAAAGCACACGACUGUCAAACAAGGUCUACAACAGAAAUUACAAAUGUCAUCGGGGGAAUACCAAAAUAAGAGUUCAAAUAGAAAGUUAAGAUGAAUUUGGAUAAGCAAUAUAUAUCAGUUAUUUUAGAAAUUUA